AAAAAUAUUGCUAAUAAUUAUCUAAGCCUUCAGGGAAUUGCAACGUUUUGGCUGAUGAAGGAGGGUCUUGUCUCCACAGCCAAACCGACAGGUGGUGGUUGCUGAACUGCUGAAGAUUGGGCUGUGGCAAUUUCUUAGAAUCGGACAACAAUGCGGGGAGAGGCAGAGGGCGGCCCCCGCGCAGGCAAAGACUGGGGGGCCCGGUCGCCGCGGUGCAGUUCUUGCCGGAGCCGAGCCCAGCGGAGCGCCCGCUACUACCCAUUCGCCUCUGCGCCAUGGCCGGCCUCAACUCCCUGGAGGCGGUGAAACUGAAGAUCCAAGCCCUGCAGCAGCAGGCGGACUAGGUGGAAGACCGUGCGCAGGGCCUGCAGCGGGAGCUGGAUGGAGACCGCCAGCGGCGCGAGAAAACUGAAGAUGUUGUGGCCGCCCUUAAACGAUGCAUCCAGCUCGUAGAGGAGGAGCUGGACAGGGCUCAGGAACCACUGGCCACAGCCCUGCAGAAGCUGCAGGAAGCGGAAAAGGCUGCAGUUGAGAGUGAGAGAGGAAUGAAGGUGAUAGAAAACCGGGCCAUAAAGGAUGAGGAGAAGAUGGAGAUUCAGGAGAUACAGCUCAAAGAGGCCAAGCACAUUGAGGAAGAGGCUGACCGCAAAUACGAGGAGGUAGCUCUAAGCUGGUCAUCCUGGAGGGUGAGCUGGAGAGGGUAGAGGAGCGUGCGGAGGUGUCUGAACUAAAAUGUGGUGACCUGGAAGAAGAACUCAAGAAUGUUACUAACAAUCUGGAGGCUACAUCUGAAAAGUAUUCUGAAAAGGAAGACAAAUAUGAAGAAGAAAUUAAACUUCUGUCUGACAAACUGAAAGAGGCUGAGACCCGUGCUGAAUUUGCAGAGAAUGGUGGCAAAACUUGAAAAGACCAUUGAUGACCUGGAAGAGAAACUUGCCCAGGCCAAAGAAGAGAAUGUGGGCUUACAUCAGACACUGGAUCAGACACUAAAUGAAUUUAACUGUAUAUAAUCAAAACAGAAGAGUCUUGUUUCAACAGAAACUCCGGAGCUGCGUGGGUCUUUCUCUUCCCUUGUAAGAAGUUCCUUUUGUUAGUGCCAUCUUCGCUCUGAUGGAAAUGUGAAGCAAAUUAUGAAUACAUGACCAAAUAUUUUGUAUUGGAGAAGCUUUGAGCACCAGUUAAAUCUCAUUCCUUUCCUUCCCCUCCCCUCAAAUGGCACCAGCAUUUUCAGCUCUCUUAUUUUUCCCUUACGUUGUAUUUAUUCCUAAGGUAGGCAGGGUAUUUCCUAGUAAGCAUACUUUCUUAAGACGGAGGGCAUUUGGUUUCUGGGAGAAUAGGCAGCCUCACACUUUGAAGAACACAGACCCCAGUAUCUAGUGGAUCUGUUUAAAAUGCUGAAGAACAUAACUUUUUGGGUCAACUGUUAGUCGAACUAUAGGAGAGACCAGGGACCAUCACAUAGGUGGGGAUUUUCCAUCCAGAGCUAAUAAAAGGGUGGGACGGGGGGGGGGUAUUGUGGGAAGUCAUAACCCAUGGAUAGAUUAACCUAAGAAUCCUGGCCCUUCUCCACACUCCACCAUGCAGAACAAACAUCCUCUCAAACAGUCGACAUAGAAUGCUUGGGAAAUGGUUGUAAUUACCCACAUAUUUUCUGGUUAGUUCCUUGAUGUGAUGUUCUGCAUAUUUCCUUCGUUCUAAAGUUGUUCUCUGGCCGAGUGUGGUAGCUCUCGCCUGUAAUCCCAACUUUGGGAGGCCAAGGCAGGCAGAUCACUUGAGGUCAGGAGUUCAAGACCAACCUGGCCAACAUGGCAAAACCCCUUCACUACUAAAAUUAUAAAAAUUAUGAUGGCACCUGCCUGCAGUCUCAGCUACUCCAGGAGGCUGAGGCAGGAGGAUUCCUUGAACCCAGAAAGUGGAGGUUGCAGUGAACCAAGAUCACUGCACUGCAUUCCAGCCCAGGCAACAGAGUGAGACUCCAUCUCAAGAAAAAAUAAAAUAAAAAUAAAGUUGUUCUUUGAGAAGCAAAUGUCUCCUUUCAAUAAUGACACAUCCACUCAGUCCAAUUCAGGUCAACCAUAUCCAAAAGACUAUAAGUCAUUAAUAAGUUGAGCAGAAGAGUUUUUUUUUUUUCUCUUAGCAGAAAGGGCCUCUCUGGCAGCAGAGAUUAAAAAUUGCCCAACUUCAUUUCCAUACUUCAGGGAAUAGCAAAUUGAAGAUUUACUUAUCUAGGACUUGAAUUCCUUCUUUGGGACCAAGUUAAUCAAAGACCAAGAAACUCCUGAUUAAACUGGAUAAUGGAGGAUUUUGUAGACAGGGCUGCACACAUUGGCUUUGUUUUACUUCUGUUUUCUCAGUUAACAUCUCAGAGCUGGAACAUUCCACAUUCCCCAGCAGUAUAUGGGGGCCAACAAAAAUUUACAAUUCCGACUAAAAAUCACCUUGCUUCUGGCUUAUUUGAAUCCCCUAUCCACCCCGUCCCACCACCCUGCUCCUAUUUAUUCGGCACCACACUACUUAGGAAAUACACUGACAAAUUGUGCAAUUGAAUGAAAUCCACACUUUUCUUUAGAUUCUUGCAACUGUAUCAUAUGUAACAGUAUCACUUUUCUACAUUUGGUCAAAUAAAUUUUUACAUAAACUA